GAUCCUGGCUCAGGAUGAACGCUGGCGGCGUGCUUAACACAUGCAAGUCGAACGGAGCUUGUCUGAUAGAGACUUCGGUCAAUUGAUUUCAAGCUUAGUGGCGGACGGGUGAGUAACGCGUGAGGAACCUGCCUUGGAGUGGGGAAUAACACAGUGAAAAUUGUGCUAAUACCGCAUAAUGCAGUUGAGUCGCAUGGCUCUGACUGCCAAAGAUUUAUCGCUCUAAGAUGGCCUCGCGUCUGAUUAGGUAGUUGGUAGGGUAACGGCCUACCAAGCCGACGAUCAGUAGCCGGUCUGAGAGGAUGAACGGCCACAUUGGGACUGAGAUACGGCCCAGACUCCUACGGGAGGCAGCAGUGGGGAAUAUUGGGCAAUGGGGGAAACCCUGACCCAGCAACGCCGCGUGAAGGAAGAAGGCCUUCGGGUUAUAAACUUCUUUUAGCAGGGACGAAGAACGUGACGGUACCUGCAGAAAAAGCAACGGCUAACUACGUG
rnacentral:rRNA from 1 species